UGGGGAAUAUUGGACAAUGGGGGGAACCCUGAUCCAGCCAUGCCGCGUGUGUGAAGAAGGCCUUAUGGUUGUAAAGCACUUUAAGCGAGGAGGAGGGUACUGGUAUUAAUACUACCAGCUACUGGACGUUACUCGCAGAAUAAGCACCGGCUAACUCUGUGCCAGCAGCCGCGGUAAUACAGAUGGUGCGAGCGUUAAUCGGAUUUACUGGGCGUAAAGCGUGCGUAGGCGGCUAAUUGAGUCGGAUGUGAAAUCCCCGAGCUUAACUUGGGAAUUGCAUUCGAUACUGGUUAGCUAGAGUGUGGGAGAGGAUGGUAGAAUUCCAGGUGUAGCGGUGAAAUGCGUAGAGAUCUGGAGGAAUACCGAUGGCGAAGGCAGCCAUCUGGCCUAACACUGACGCUGAGGUACGAAAGCAUGGGGAGCAAACAGG
rnacentral:rRNA from 1 species